AAAAUGGCUGUGAAGAGAAGAGUAGGUUUUCGCAUUGAGCCUUACCAGAGAGCCCGGACGGUGGAAAAGGGCAGGAAACAGGGAACGGAAAAUGGUCUCGGAGCCGCGUGGGCGAAGUGCAAGAGUGCUAAGCCUGCGACGGGUACGCCCGUUAAAGCGUCCGGCUGUACGCCGCGUGAGCCGAGCUCAGCUCCCGCUGCCGCAGCUUCAAGGCCGUACCUGUGAGGGUGCGGUAAACCAAGGUGGUACCACGGAAGUUUCAAGCUCCCGUCCUUGCA
rfam:Faecalibacterium sp. CAG:82 genomic scaffold, scf37